GUGUUUAUCCGAAGCGUAGUCGGAAGAGAUGUGUUUUUAGCCUUCAGUGGAAGAUGCGUUGGCUUUCGGCCAUCCUGAUGUCAAUAGGGAGCUCAUUCCACCGCCACUUUUGUCAGGGA